GAGCGACUCGUGUAGCCCCCACUCCUCCGGGAAGGAUCCUACAGUGAGCAUCGAAUGGGGUGAUCGCGGCGGUGCUUUAAAUUAAGUUAUACGAAAAUAGUGUCCUUGAUAUAUUCACUCGCGUUUAAUAUUCAUAUCGGUUCAUAGCGACAUUUUAUUCGUCGUGUGAGCAUUGGCGAUGUCGUUUUGGAGCAUCAAGGUCAUCAUCAAGUGACAAGUUCGCGUAUGGACAGAAGUUGGAGCAAAGUAUACAAGAAUCGAGAUUUUGCUUGCGAUUCUCGAUGGCAAAAAGUGUGCAAUAACGCGGGACGGACGGCAUAUUGCUCUGUUGAUUUAUUCGCCGAAAACGUGUCGGAGGAGUGCGAUGAAAGUCGCGAAUGUCGUAUAUACAAGGUAAUACGCGAUCGAGAUGCAGAAAGAAAACGGUGGCAGUGGAUUACUUAUUUGGAGCGACUCCGAGAAUACCAAAGGCAAAAUAUAAAGUAACGUGAGUGCGAAUUCCUCAACGGAUAUUCGUCUUCUCCAGGAGCUGCCACGUCUCUCUUUGGGCCGCCUACGAGGACCGAGGUGCAGAAAGAAAACGGCAGCAGAUUACUUAUUUGGAGCGACUCCGAGAAUACCAAAGGCAAAAUAUAAAGUAACGUGAGUGCGAGUUCCUCAACAGAAAUUCUUCUCCAGGAGCUGCCACGUCUUUCUUUGGGCCGCCUACGAGGACCGAGGUGCAGAAAGAAAACGGCAGCAGGUUACUUAUUUGGAGCGACUCCGGGAAUGCCAUGCAAAGACAUAAUAUAAAGUAAGGCGAGUGCGGAUUCUUCAACAGAAACUCGUUUUCUCCAGGAGCUGUCACGUCCCUUCGGGCCGCCUCUGUGAGGCUCGAAUGCAGAAAGAAAACGGUGGCAGCAGAUUACUUAUUCAUAUUAUACUGGUAUAAAGUAACACGAGUGCGAGUUCUUCAACGGAAAUUCGUCUUCUCCAGGAGCUAUCUCUCUUCGGACCAGCUGCGAGGAUGCAGAACGAAAACGGUGGCAUUAAAAUCAUCGUCCGGUACAAUGUACACGAAAUACGCGUGCGAUACGCGUCGGGAGUGCCGUGUAAAGUUUCGCGCGUCGGGAGUGCCGCGUAAAGU